UCUCUCUCUCAAAAUCUGGUUAGGGCUUUUUUUGCCCAUUCGAAAUCAGCAAAAAAUUAGGGCUUUUUUGGGAUUCAAAAUCAGCAAACUACCACCUGUAACCCAGGUUUUGUCUACUACCAUCCAUUUAUUAAACUAGGUUUUUGUACCACUUAUUGCAUUUGUUGGGUAGGUUUCCGAUUUUGUUUUUCUUCUGAUCUAUCGGUGGAGAGUUGGAAGAUGGUGGCUUUGGGUACUAAAAAGGAGUGAUUUUUCUUGUUUCUUAAACCUCCUGAGCCUACUUGCUUGUUUCAUGAGACUUCCCAAUCCUGGAAUUUACCCUCAAUUUGUUUUGAUUUGGUUAUUUUCAUUUUUGUUUACUAUCACUAUGGUUGUUGGUUAAACUGGAAAAAUGCGAAACCCGACUGAGGCUGCAGUUCUUUCUUAUAUAGCUAAGGGGGUUGUGUCCCUGCAUCAGUUUUGCUGAUGAGCUGGGCCAACUGGGUUCAUGAGUUGUGCCAUUAUAAAAGCAUUAGUUAGCAAUUGCAAGAUUCCUGAUAACUAACAUGCUGUACUCCUUGUUCAGCCAUAGGAACAUUGCUGUACCUUUUAAAAUGAAUGACUUUAAGAUGCUUUUACUCCUCAAUUUUCUAGCCUUAUAGUCAGGGUUAUAGUUGGUUCUUUCAUGGAUAGUGUACUAUAAAUUCAAUGUGGAAACUUUGAAUAGACAAUAUGAUGCAGCAGAAUUGAGAGUUAAGUGAUAUAUCUCAACUGUAACCAUACAUAUAGUUGUUGUUUAGAGCUGAACUCUUAGUGUUUUGUUACCAACGUGGUAGAGAAUUGCAUCUAGCAUAUAGUGGCAUUUUGGUAGAGAACUGCAUCUAGCUGAACUGUUAGUGUUUUGUUACCAACGUGGUAGAGAAUUCCGAUUUUGUUAUAAAGCAUUAGUUAGCAAUUGAUCUUACGUGUAUUGUCAAAACCUUUAAUUGUUUUGAGUAUCAUAGAGCGGCCAAUUGUUACAUUAUAGGAGGAGAAUCAUAAGGAAAGUAACCUAUUUCAUGGAAGGAAGCAGUUCGGGUAACAAUGGAAGUGGUGAUCCCGAUUUUGGGAUCUUUUGUUAUUACGGAGAACCAACACCAUUGAGGAAAUCUGGAACACAAAAGAAUCCAGGUCGAAGGUUCUUCGGAUGUGCAAACUAUAAGUUAAACUUGGAUUGUGGUUUUUUUUGCUGGUAUGAGCCUUGUAUUUUGCAAGGAAGGGCUGAUUUUGGGCCAAUGAUGGUUCAAACCAAAAAAAAAGGCUGUGAUGACUGUUGAACAAUGUGAGAGUUCAACAUCCAUGAGCAUUAGAGAAGAAAUGCAGAAGACAACAAUCACAUGAAGAUUGAAGCCAUGAAGAAGGAGAUUGAUGCAAUGCAAAUGAGAAUGAGAAAUGGGGGGAAAAUGAACUGGAAUUAUCUUUGGAUUGUUGUUCUUUGUGUUGUGUCGUACAUGUGUGGCAAAAGCAGCCUGUGAUCUCAAGUAGUAGUAGUAGUAGUAGUAGUAUGUUUGUUAUGAUACUAUUACUAGGUUAGUGAAAUUGGCAGCCUUGUAUGUGGUCUAUAUAAGUGGUCCAAGUGGUA